rnacentral:rRNA from 1 species
GGAUAACACUUGGAAACAGGUGCUAAUACCGUAUAACACUAUUUUCCGCAUGGAAGAAAGUUGAAAGGCGCUUUUGCGUCACUGAUGGAUGGACCCGCGGUGCAUUAGCUAGUUGGUGAGGUAACGGCUCACCAAGGCCACGAUGCAUAGCCGACCUGAGAGGGUGAUCGGCCACACUGGGACUGAGACACGGCCCAGACUCCUACGGGAGGCAGCAGUAGGGAAUCUUCGGCAAUGGACGAAAGUCUGACCGAGCAACGCCGCGUGAGUGAAGAAGGUUUUCGGAUCGUAAAACUCUGUUGUUAGAGAAGAACAAGGAUGAGAGUAAAAUGUCCAUCCCUUGACGGUAUCUAACCAGAAAGCCACGGCUAACUACGUGCCAGCAGCCGCGGUAAUACGUAGGUGGCAAGCGUUGUCCGGAUUUAUUGGGCGUAAAGCGAGCGCAGGCGGUUUCUUAAGUCUGAUGUGAAAGCCCCCGGCUCAACCGGGGAGGGUCAUUGGAAACUGGGAGACUUGAGUGCAGAAGAGGAGAGUGGAAUUCCAUGUGUAGCGGUGAAAUGCGUAGAUAUAUGGAGGAACACCAGUGGCGAAGGCGGCUCUCUGGUCUGUAACUGACGCUGAGGCUCGAAAGCGUGGGGAGCGAACAGGAUUAGAUACCCUGGUAGUCCACGCCGUAAACGAUGAGUAUAGAGUGUUGGAGGGUUUCCGCCCUUCAGUGCUGCA